GCAAGCAGUGAGUUAGCCAAAUUGGCUCUUGCAUUUGCGGAGCCGAAAUGGCAAGGCUCUACAGUAAUUUUUUUUUUUUUUUUUAAUUAUAUCUCAUCUUUAGGCCUCAUUCUUUUCUACCGUGGACUUUUCCUUUGCUUUUGGUCUCAUUCUUUUCUACCUUGCUCUCUGUCUAAAAUCUCAUCUGCCCUUCAAAGUCAGCCUUCUUCUCCAAGGAGUAGAGCUAGAUGAAUUGACGGCAAAGAUAGAGCCUCGGAUCAACCACCAUGUAGAUUGAGAGCCACAUAUUACAGAAGGAAAUUUGUUAUGCAUAAUGCAAGAGAAUACGCUGUGACAAAAGGGGCUGUGUCAGACUGAUCAAAGCAAGCCUCGCCUUUGCGCUAAGCCCUCGGCGUUUGAGAGGACAAAGUGAAGAGUUUUUGAGAAGGUGGUGAAUUUCAGAGCAGAAGGUGGUGAAUUUCAGAGCUGAGUUUUCAACAAGGAAGGGAAUUUUGAAAGCAAGCAGAAAUUUAGCAAAGGAUGUAGAGACUAUAGAGGACCAGCCUAGUGAGAGAAAUGUGAAUGCUCAGUGGUGCAACUCUUCUCUUGUUGCAGAUAGUGUUUCUUAUGAUGAUCAAAAUAUACACACAGACUGCUUUGAUUAUGGUGUUCUGUCUCAUUAUCCUGAGACACGGUUGAUGUCCUCAAUGGAGCCGCUCCAAAAUAUAGGAAAGUAUCAGGGAAUGAGAAGACAUAUUGGAUCUAAGUUCUUUGGCAGCUUGUGGAUCUGGUGAUACCUCUGGGCAGAAAGAUAGUUGCUUUGAAGUUCCAGUCAGUUUAGGGAAUACUCCAACCUUGAAGGGAAGAUCGGAGGCAGUCUUCAAUAAUUAAGAUUGCAAUACAAGUUUGCUAAGCUAUGACAAAAAUCCAUCUGUAUACCUUGAGAAAGAAGCAAAGGGCUUUGAUGUAAAAGUUUCCAAUCAGGAAUGGCCUAUGUUGCAGAGGCCUGUCGCUAUGUGUUGUUGGAUAUUAAGUCCCUGAAAACGAUUUCCAAAGAUGCAUCUUCUGACUCAAACACAUCAUUUAAAAGGAAGGUCCAGAAGAAAUUAAAAAAAAAAAAACCCCUUUUUUGAAAUGAAACUGAGAAAUUUGGAUCAA